rnacentral:rRNA from 1 species
UACGAAGGGUGCAAGCGUUAAUCGGAAUUACUGGGCGUAAAGGGUGCGUAGGCGGUUGUUUAAGUCUGUCGUGAAAUCCCCGGGCUCAACCUGGGAAUGGCGAUGGAUACUGGAUAGCUAGAGUGUGUCAGAGGAUGGUGGAAUUCCCGGUGUAGCGGUGAAAUGCGUAGAGAUCGGGAGGAACAUCAGUGGCGAAGGCGGCCAUCUGGGACAACACUGACGCUGAAGCACGAAAGCGUGGGGAGCAAACAGG